GCGGCAUGCCUUACACAUGCAAGUCGAACGGCAGCACGGGAGCUAUCCUGGUGGCGAGUGGCGAACGGGUGAGUGAAGUAUCGGAGCGUGCCCAGUCGUGGGGGAUAACGUAGCGAAAGUUACUCUCAUACCGCAUACGAUCUAUGGAUGAAAGCGGGGGAUCGCAAGACCUCGCGCGAUUGGAGCGGCCGAUAUCAUAUUAGGUAGUUGGAGGGGUAAAUGGUCUGAGGGAGAACUUACCACGCUGGGACUGACACACGACCCCGACUCCUGCGGGAGAGAGCGGGUUCUAUAAUG
rnacentral:rRNA from 1 species